rnacentral:rRNA from 1 species
GACGAACGCUGGCGGCGUGCUUAACACAUGCAAGUCGAACGGAAAGGCCCUGCUUUUGUGGGGUGCUCGAGUGGCGAACGGGUGAGUAACACGUGAGUAACCUGCCCUUGACUUUGGGAUAACUUCAGGAAACUGGGGCUAAUACCGGAUAGGAGCUCCUGCUGCAUGGUGGGGGUUGGAAAGUUUCGGCGGUUGGGGAUGGACUCGCGGCUUAUCAGCUUGUUGGUGGGGUAGUGGCUUACCAAGGCUUUGACGGGUAGCCGGCCUGAGAGGGUGACCGGCCACAUUGGGAUUGAGAUACGGCCCGGACUCCUACGGGAGGCAGCAGUGGGGAAUAUUGCACAAUGGGCGGAAGCCUGAUGCAGCAACGCCGCGUGCGGGAUGACGGCCUUCGGGUUGUAAACCGCUUUCGCCUGUGACGAAGCGUGAGUGACGGUAAUGGGUAAAGAAGCACCGGCUAACUACGUG